rnacentral:misc_RNA from 1 species
GAAAGGAGCCUCGACGCGAUGGAUCGAGCCGCCAUGGAAGGCGAUCCUGUCGAACAAGGGAAUUCUGCCGCUACUCUGGUCAAUGUUUCCGCGGCACCCGAAUUUGCUUGCAGCGUACUUCGACGACGACGACGACCCAGGGGCGCCCGAGUUGGGAUCAACUUACGUUCGGAAGCCGCUCUAUUCUCGGGAAGGCGCGAACGUCGCCAUUGUAACGUCCGGCGAAGUGCUCGAGGAGCAGCC